CAGUCGCCGCGGGAAUACCAGCACCUCGAGUGGUCAGGAGGUUUAUUGGGCCUAAAGCAUCCGUAGCCGGUUGCAUAAGUUUUCGGUUAAAUCUAUGCGCUUAACGUAUAGGCCGCCGAAAAUACUGUGCAGCUAGGGAGUGGGAGAGGUACACGGUACUCGAUAGGAAGGGGUAAAAUCCUUUGAUCUAUUGAUGACCACCUGUGGCGAAGGCGGUGUACCAGAACACGUUCGACGGUGAGGGAUGAAAGCUGGGGGAGCAAACCGGAUUAGAUACCCCCGUAGUCCCUGUCUCUUAUAC
rnacentral:rRNA from 1 species